AAAUAAGUUACGAAAAUAACUCAAAGUGAGAAGCGCUUAUGCAAAUAAGCUAUGAAAACAAAUCGUGGGUUUACGUUCACAAUAGCAAACAUCACACUCGUAUCAGAGCAUCACGCUCUCACUGGCUCAGUAUUACUCUCAGCCUUCACUCUAACUCACCUCUCUCACUCACCGCCGCUCUUCACUUCUCUCAUCCUAUAACGCAAAGGUCCAAGGUUUAAAGAGAAACAAGAAGAAAAAAAGCCUCACCUUUGGUGAAAACUACGGAGACGAUGAAGCUUCAAACCUCCCCCCUUUCGCCUCUUCAAAAGGGUUUGAAUAGGUAUCUUUGGGUGUUACAAGAAGUUACUCUGCAAAGUUCCUUUUGGUGCUCAGAAAUUUAAGUGGCCUUUUUGAUGCUAGAAUCGGAACGUGAAGAUUGGAGGUGAGGGAACGUGAAGCUAGUUGAUCCGUUGGACUAUUGCCUUGUUGGGAAACAUUUCUCAGGACAUCCAUGGCUUUAGCAACUUUAGCCUUGAGAGCAUCAGGUGAUUCUAUCGAAUGCAAAACUUCAGGCUGAUCCAUCUCCAAAAGCAUGCCGGUAACCUCCCUGCGGCACCGACGAGCAGAUGAACUGGUUGAGGAAUGAUUUCGGUUAUCACAGGGGUGAAGAAAAACCUUUUUCUCCAGAGGAAAUAUUAUCUAUGAUCCUCGCAAACAUGCGGGAAAACGCAGAGAGACUUUGGAGACACCUAUCAAAAAUGCAGUGAUUACAGUUCCGGCCUAUUUCAAAGAUUCUCAGCGAAAAGCCAAUAUAAAUA